rnacentral:rRNA from 1 species
CCUACGGGAGGCAGCAGUAGGGAAUAUUCCACAAUGAGCGAAAGCUUGAUGGAGCGACACAGCGUGCACGAUGAAGGUCUUCGGAUUGUAAAGUGCUGUUAUAAGGGAAGAACAUUUGCAAUAGGAAAUGAUUGCAGACUGACGGUACCUUGUCAGAAAGCGAUGGCUAACUAUGUGCCAGCAGCCGCGGUAAUACAUAGGUCGCAAGCGUUAUCCGGAAUUAUUGGGCGUAAAGCGUUCGUAGGCUGUUUGUUAAGUCUGGAGUUAAAUCCCGGGGCUCAACCCCGGCUCGCUUUGGAUACUAGCAAACUAGAGUUAGAUAGAGGUAAGCGGAAUUCCAUGUGAAGCGGUGAAAUGCGUAGAUAUAUGGAAGAACACCAAAGGCGAAGGCAGCUUACUGGGUCUAUACUGACGCUGAGGGACGAAAGCGUGGGGAGCAAACAGGAUUAGAUACCCCGGUAGUC